ensembl:snRNA U6 U6 spliceosomal RNA
GUGCUCACUUUGGCAACACACAUACUAAAAGUGGAACGAUACAGAGAUGAUUAGUAUGGCCCCUGGGCAAGGAUGACACGCAAAUUUGUGAAGCAUUCCAUAUUUUU